rnacentral:rRNA from 1 species
GACGAACGCUGGCGGCGUGCUUAACACAUGCAAGUCGAACGGAAAGGCCCUGCUUUUGCGGGGUGCUCGAGUGGCGAACGGGUGAGUAACACGUGAGUAACCUGCCCCUGACUUUGGGAUAACUUCAGGAAACUGGGGCUAAUACCGGAUAGGAGCUCCUGCUGCAUGGUGGGGGUUGGAAAGUUUCGGCGGUUGGGGAUGGACUAGCGGCUUAUCAGCUUGUUGGUGGGGUAGUGGCUUACCAAGGCUUUGACGGGUAGCCGGCCUGAGAGGGUGACCGGCCACAUUGGGACUGAGAUACGGCCCAGACGCCUACGGGAGGCAACAGUGGAGAGUAUUGCACAAUGGGCGGGAGCCUGAGGCGGCGGCGCCGCGUGCGGGAUGACGGCCUUCGGGUUGUGAACCGCUUUCGCCUGAGACGAAGCGUGAGUGACGGUAAUGGAUAAAGAAGCACCGGCUAACUACGUG